rnacentral:rRNA from 1 species
GCAGUCGCGCGUCCCUAGCUAUGAUGGGAAGCGGCGAAAAGCUCCGUAACGUGUAGUUAACCUACCCUCAGGACGGGAAUACCUUCGGGAAACUGAAGAUAAUUCCCGAUAAUUGAUUAGGCCUGGAAUGGUUUUUCAUCCAAAGGUAUCGUCUCAUGCGAUGAUAUCGCCCGAGGAUGGGACUGCAUCUGAUUAGCUUGUUGGUGGGGUAACGGCCCACUAAGGCGAUAAUCAGUACGGGCUGUGAGAGCAGUAGCCCGGAGAUGGAUACUGAGACAACGAUCCAGGCGCUACGGCGCGCAGCAGGCGCGAAACCUCCGCAAUACACGCAAGUGUGACGGGGCCAUCCCAAGUGCCAUCCGAUAAGGGUGGCUUUUGCCCAGUGUAAGUAGCUGGGAGAAUAAGGGGAGGGCAAGGCUGGUGCCAGCCGCCGCGGUAAAACCAGCUCCUCGAGUAGUCGGGAGUAUUAUUGGGUCUAAAGCGUCCGUAGCCGGCCCUGUAAGUUCCUGGUCAAAUCCAGCGGCCUAACCGUUGGUUCGCUGGGGAUACUGCAGGGCUUGGGAACGAGAGAGGCCAAGGGUACUUAUGGGGUAGGGGUGAAAUCCUGUAAUCCCAUAGGGACCACCGGUGGCGAAGGCGCUUGGCUGGAACGUGUCCGACGGUGAGGGACGAAAGCCAGGGGAGCGAACCGGAUUAGAUACCCGGGUAGUCCUGGCUGUAAACGAUGCGGGCUAGGUGUUUGCGUGGCUA